GCCGGUUUAGCUCAGCUGGUAGAGCAGCUGAUUUGUAAUCAGAAGGUCGCGGGUUCGAUUCCUGCAACCGGCACCA
rnacentral:tRNA from 11 species